UUUGUGACUGAGUGGCUGACGGGUGAGUAACGCGUGGGUAACCUGCCUCAUACAGGGGGAUAACAGUUAGAAAUGACUGCUAAUACCGCAUAAGACCACAGGAUUGCAUGAUCCGGUGGUAAAAACUCCGGUGGUAUGAGAUGGACCCGCGUCUGAUUAGGUAGUUGGUGGGGUAACGGCUCACCAAGCCGACGAUCAGUAGCCGACCUGAGAGGGUGACCGGCCACAUUGGGACUGAGACACGGCCCAAACUCCUACGGGAGGCAGCAGUGGGGAAUAUUGCACAAUGGGGGAAACCCUGAUGCAGCGACGCCGCGUGAGCGAUGAAGUAUUUCGGUAUGUAAAGCUCUAUCAGCAGGGAAGAAAAUGACGGUACCUGACUAAGAAGCACCGGCUAAAUACGUGCCAGCAGCCGCGGUAAUACGUAUGGUGCAAGCGUUAUCCGGAUUUACUGGGUGUAAAGGGAGCGUAGACGGAGAGGCAAGUCUGAUGUGAAAACCCGGGGCUCAACCCCGGGACUGCAUUGGAAACUGUUUUUCUAGAGUGUCGGAGAGGUAAGUGGAAUUCCUAGUGUAGCGGUG
rnacentral:rRNA from 1 species